AGCUCCAAGAGCGUAUAUUAAAGUUGUUGCAGUUAAAAAGCUCGUAGUUGGAUUUCUGGUACAACGCGCCUGGCCCGCAAUUUUUGUGAGUGCCGGUGCGCGUUGGCCAUCCUUCUAGAAAACGUUUCUACCCGGGUAACUGGGCCGGACUCGCGAUCUAGAUCUUUUACUUUGAAAAAAUUAGAGUGUUUAAAGCAGGCUUUUGCUGUGAAUACAUUAGCAUGGAAUAAUAAUCUAGGACUUCGGUUCUAUUUUGUUGGUUUCUAGUACUGAAGUAAUGAUUGAUAGGGAUAGUUGGGGGUGCUAGUAUUGGCCGGCCAGAGGUGAAAUUCUUGGAUUCGGUCAAGACUAACUUAUGCGAAAGCAUUCACCAAGGAUGUCUUCUUUA
rnacentral:rRNA from 1 species